CCUACGGGUGGCAGCAGUGAGGAAUAUUGGUCAAUGGACGAGAGUCUGAACCAGCCAAGUAGCGUGAAGGAUGACUGCCCUAUGGGUUGUAAACUUCUUUUAUAAAGGAAUAAAACGAGGCACGUGUGCCUUUUUGCAUGUACUUUAUGAAUAAGGAUCGGCUAACUCCGUGCCAGCAGCCGCGGUAAUACGGAGGAUCCGAGCGUUAUCCGGAUUUAUUGGGUUUAAAGGGAGCGUAGAUGGGUUGUUAAGUCAGGUGUGAAAGUUUGCGGCUCAACCGUGAAAUUGCAAUUGAAACUGGCAGUCUUGAGUACAGUUGAGGUAGGCGGAAUUCGUGGUGUAGCGGUGAAAUGCAUAGAUAUCACGAAGAACCCCGAUUGCGAAGGCAGCAUACUAAACUGUGACUGACAUUGAUGCACGAAAGCGUGGGGAGCAAACAGGAUUAGAUACCCGAGUAGUC
rnacentral:rRNA from 1 species